CCCCGCCCUCCAGCUCUCCCCAUGGAUAUGCUCAGGACCAGUUCUCACACUGACCUUUAUUCCAGCAGCACCAAGGUGAGGAGGUGCCUGAAGUGCCAUCCCGUGCAGCCUGAGCAUGCCUCGUUGAGGAUGAAGCCUGCUUUCCAGCGGUCACCAAAGCCAAGUCCUGUGUCAUGCCAGACAUCAAUGGUUCCGGUUCCUGAAAUACUGGAGAAGCCUCAAAGUGCAAGAGGAGCAGGGAGCAUGAUGCAUCUCUUUGGGACAUUAGCACUAAACCUCGAUCGGGAAGGUGAGUGGAGAGAAGUUGAAAAAUGAGUGUGGUUUUUGGUUUGGUAGUCUAUCGAUCCACCUCUGGGUGACUCCUCUUUUCAGGGGAUGAAGAAAAAACUGUCAACAUCCUAGUAGGCCUCCAUGGGUUCACGCUGAGGAUGGAUUC
rnacentral:lncRNA from 1 species